AGAGUUUGAUCCUGGCUCAGGAUGAACGCUGGCGGCGCGCCUAACACAUGCAAGUCGAACGGUUAAAGCACCUUCGGGUGUGUAUAAAGUGGCGAACGGCUGAGUAACACGUGGGCAACCUGCCCCUCGCACCGGGACAGCCUCGGGAAACCGUGGAUAAUACCGGAUACUCCGCCACCCCCGCAUGGGGGAGGCGGGAAAGCCCAGACGGCGAGGGAUGGGCCCGCGGCCUGUUAGCUAGUUGGUGGGGCAACGGCCCACCAAGGCGAUUAUGGGUAGCUGGGUUGAGAGACCGACCAGCCAGAUUGGGACUGAGACACGGCCCAGACUCCUACGGGAGGCAGCAGUGGGGAAUCUUGCGCAAUGGGCGAAAGCCUGACGCAGCGACGCCGCGUGCGGGAUGAAGGCCUUCGGGUCGUAAACCGCUUUCAGCAGGGACGAGGCCGCGAGGUGACGGUACCUGCAGAAGAAGCCCCGGCUAACUACGUGCCAGCAGCCGCGGU
rnacentral:rRNA from 1 species